rnacentral:rRNA from 1 species
GACGAACGCUGGCGGCGUGCCUAAUACAUGCAAGUCGAACGCAGUGGGGACGGGUGAGGAACACGUGGGUAACCUCCCAUCAGAGGGGAGAACACUUGGAAACAGGUGCUAAACCGAUAUUGACGGAUGGACCCGCGGUGCAUUCGCUAGUUGGUGAGGUAACGGCUCAGCAAGGCCACGAUGCCUAGCUGGUCUGAGAGGGUGAUCGGCCACACUGGGACUGAGACACGGCCCAGACUCCUACGGGAGGCAGCAGUGGGGAAUCUUGGGCAAUGGGCGAAAGCCUGAUCGAGCAAUGCCGCGUGAGUGAAGAAGGUCUUCGGAUCGUAAAACACUGUUGUUAGAGAAGCGUUAUCUGACCAGAAAGCAACGGCUAACUACGUGCCAGCAGCCGCGGUAAUAC